ensembl:lncRNA
CUGGCUGCUUCUACUGGGGUAAGAAAUGAUGAAGCAAUUUGCACUUGUAACUUUCACACUAACAUCUUAUUAAAUAGCUCACAGCCCUCAAGGACUGUUUCAGAAAGGUUAAGCAGCCUCACCAAGCACUUGUACCCAGAUCAUCAUGACAGGAAAAAAAAAAAGGUCAUACGUUUAGACUUGCAUUGCUUUGAAAAGCCGUAUCAGCUACUGCUCCAGUAUCACUGCUUCAGCUUCACAACUACAAUGGAUUGUGGAAUGGUGUGUUAAACAGGGAAAAGAGACAGGUUAAAAAUAGCCCUUUUUUCAUGAGUAGUUUAAUUAUCAGCCAUUAAUUUCCCCUUCCAGUUUGCCGUAUAUAAAUAAGACAGUAGGACAGGAGCAAGGAUCACGCUGGGAAGUAGCUCACUCUAGUCUUGUCAUUGAAAGAAACAAGCAAAUAACUGUAUUUAGAAGUCAGAGCACAAUUUGGCAUCUGAAUUUUCAAGGAAUUGGAAAUCCUGGAUGGAAGAACUCGGUUCUGGUACCUUAUUUUCAAUCUGCUGAUUUUCACCUUGUUUUUUUCACUGCUUGAAAUUCAGCUAUGUAAUUUGAUCAACUUAUUUACUCUCUCAGAAUGUGAUCAGAGGGAAAUCCAUGGGUGACUGAAGAAAUGGAAGUUCAAUUUCACAGAAAAUUCCAAUAUUAACUACCUUUAUUUUCAUUCCACAUCAUAUCCUCCUGUAGCUCAACCAGAGGGAAAGACUACAGCACUGAGGAGCCAGCUGUGUUGGAUACUUGGCUAGAUGAAUCUAAUCGACCUUGUGGGAGACAGUAGGGUCAGAAGAGAGAGAAUGGAAGAACAAGUACCAAAACUCAUGUGUCAAGACAAAGACCAUUUAAAAAGUGACAGAGAGGACAAAAAAACAAAUAUGCAAAGGUGACCACACAGAGCUCCCACAGGCAGAUCAGGGCCGAGCCAGCAAGAAAGUCCCCUUAGAUACCCCAAGUCAACACCCCCUCUUUCUUCUAAUGCAGUUUUUAUUGUUGAACAUCAUGCUGUUUGGCAUCAAAACUGAUCCCUUUGUCUGUUUUUUUUUUUAUCUGGCUGACGUCUACUGCUCUAGCCCAGUCAGACCCAGCACAGACACUUCAGUGUGUGUGUAAUGACAACAGUCUUUGAUAACUCCAUUUUGACGGCAUUGAUGAAGACAAGAAGCAGAUGUUCCAAACAGCACCACAAUGAGGAAUCCUACAGUUCUGAACUAAGGACUGCAUAACCUGUUCAACAUUGUGAAGUUUGCUGUCAUUAACUGUGCAGCAUGCAAGUCUGCUACAAGGUCAGGGGAGACUUCUACUCUUACAGUGUCUGAUCCAUCAGCUCUAAAGAAGUUUUUAUUGCUUUUUUUUUAGGGAUUAUUUGCCACCUGUAACAAUGAGUAGUCACUACCACGAAUAAGAUCAGGACUGAGCACUCAGAACCACACAAGGAACAAGUAGAGGGCUCCUGGCCCACGAUACUGCUGAUGUAUGUCAAAAUCAAAAGACAGGUCAAGGAAAGACACUAUCAGUAGUCCCUGGACAGAAUAAAUCUUGUUAGUUUUUGCUCAUAUAACAUAAUCUCACCCCAGAUAAAUACUUUCAUACAGAAAACAUUACUGAAAAAACAACAAAUAAUGCUUUUAACACUGAAUAAAGACAGUAGUGAAAAUGAAAUGUGGUGAAAAGCAGAUCGAAAUAAAAGCAUUUUAAGCUAGUGUUUUAUUUUCAUCCGAUGCAAAUUUUUUCAAUGAAAGCAUGAAAUACAGAAUAUAGAAUCUCAUUUUACCUGGGA